rnacentral:rRNA from 1 species
CCUACGGGAGGCUGCAGUGGGGAAUAUUGGACAAUGGGGGCAACCCUGAUCCAGCCAUGCCGCGUGUGUGAAGAAGGCCCUCGGGUUGUAAAGCACUUUCAGUGAGGAAGAACGCCUGGUGGUUAAUACCCAUCAGGAAAGACAUCACUCACAGAAGAAGCACCGGCUAACUCCGUGCCAGCAGCCGCGGUAAUACGGAGGGUGCGAGCGUUAAUCGGAAUUACUGGGCGUAAAGCGCGCGUAGGUGGCUUGAUAAGCCGGUUGUGAAAGCCCCGGGCUCAACCUGGGAACGGCAUCCGGAACUGUCAAGCUAGAGUGCAGGAGAGGAAGGUAGAAUUCCCGGUGUAGCGGUGAAAUGCGUAUAGAUCGGGAGGAAUACCAGUGGCGAAGGCGGCCUUCUGGACUGACACUGACACUGAGGUGCGAAAGCGUGGGUAGCAAACAGGAUUAGAUACCCCUGUAGUC